GGGGAGAUACUCAAGCGGCCAACGAGGGCAGACUGUAAAUCUGCUGGGAAACCUUCGCAGGUUCGAAUCCUGCUCUCCCCACAA
rnacentral:tRNA from 5 species